GAUGAACGCUGGCGGCGUGCUUAANACAUGCAAGUCGAACGGAGCUUGUCUGAUAGAGGAUUCGUCCAAUUGAUUACAAGCUUAGUGGCGGACGGGUGAGUAACGCGUGAGCAACCUGCCUCUGUAUGAGGGAUAACGUUUGGAAACGGACGCUAAUACCUCAUGACGUAACGGAACCGCAUGAUUCUGUUACCAAAGAUUUAUUGUACAGAGAUGGGCUCGCGUCUGAUUAGGUAGUUGGUGAGGUAACGGCCCACCAAGCCGACGAUCAGUAGCCGGACUGAGAGGUUGAACGGCCACAUUGGGACUGAGAUACGGCCCAGACUCCUACGGGAGGCAGCAGUGAGGAAUAUUGCGCAAUGGGGGCAACCCUGACGCAGCAACGCCGCGUGAAGGAUGAAGGUCUUCGGAUUGUAAACUUCUUUUACCAGGGACGAAGAACGUGACGGUACCUGGAGAAAAAGCCACGGCUAACUACGUG
rnacentral:rRNA from 1 species